rnacentral:misc_RNA from 1 species
AGUUAAUACAGAUGAUGCAUGGUUAGAUGGAAGAUGAUCCCACAAAGAAUGUCUGAAGCACAGACAUGCUAGUGUUCCAGAUAGAGUAAUGCAGUGAUAAAAUUGGAAUAAGUUAGUUAAAUACUACAUUUAAGGAUUCUAAUGAAAUCAAUAUGUAGCUAAUUAUUAAGCAAUUACACAUAAAACAAUAAUUAGUCAGAGGUCCACAAAGUACAAUGCUUUCAGAGCUUCCCUCCAAAACUACCAGAGACUCAAAUGUUGAAGGAUGAGAAGAACCACAAGUACAGAUGGCCUCCAAAAGUCUUGUCAAAUACAUUAAAAUAUAUAAUCUACCCUGUCA